rnacentral:piRNA from 1 species
UGCCAAGAAUCAUAGCCGAUGACUUA